CCUACGGGCGGCAGCAGUGAGGAAUAUUGGUCAAUGGGCGGAAGUCUGAACCAGCCAAGUAGCGUGCAGGAUGACUGCCCUAUGGGUUGUAAACUUCUUUUAUAUGGGAAUAACGCGUUCCACGUGUAGGUCUUUGUAUGUACCGUAUGAAUAAGGAUCGGCUAACUCCGUGCCAGCAGCCGCGGUAAUACGGAGGGUCCGAGCGUUAUCCGGAUUUAUUGGGUUUAAAGGGAGCGUAGGUGGCUUGUUAAGCGAGUUGUGAAAGGUUGCGGCUCAACCGUAAAAUUGCAGUGGAAACUGGCAGGCUUGAGUACAGGAGAGGUGGGCGGAAUUCGUGGUGUAGCGGUGAAAUGCUUAGAUAUGACGAAGAACCCCGAUUGCGAAGGCAGCUCACUGGAGUGGAACUGACGCUGAGGCUCGAAAGCGUGGGUAUCAAACAGGAUUAGAUACCCGUGUAGUC
rnacentral:rRNA from 1 species